CUCUCUGUAAACUUCCCUAUGAAUAUUGAUAUCAAAGAGCACAUAUUCUUGAAUCACGGCCAAAAUGUAGUCGAUGUAUUUAUACUGCAAGGUUAAAAUCGACAUAAACAAUUCAGCAAUCGGAACACUAGCAUUCGCUGUACAAAUUCUCUGGAAUUUUCAUUAAUCUAACGCGGAAUAAAGAAAAACAGUACUCUGAGAAAUGGACAAGAAAGUCCUCGCGAUCUGUCUUAUCCUGAUGGUGAUCUGUUCGAUCCAGUUGUCGGUCGACAGUCAGCGUCUUUGCCGGCAGUUACGUAAUGGACAGUGCGUCGACAGUCCUUGGAGGAAAGCAAAAAAGAGGCCUCUGUGUGCCGAAAUCAGACAUAACCAUGCGUGCAGGGCUGUUCCCGGUCACUGCAUGUGCUUGCCGACGACGUCGGGAUCAGUGCUCGCGUCACGGGGCGAGGAAAACCAGCUGGAGCAAGACCAAGCUAUUGAGAGCUAAAAAGUUUCAUUAUACGUUUUGAAAGGGUCUGGCUCUCAGUUUCAUGAGUCACUCCAGAAAGCUCGGCUAUUUAAAGAAUCAAUACAUGGCGAUUGCCGAGAAGUUAGGAUUGUUCCUGUGUAUGUAUGCACAUGCAAUUUAUCGAACAUAUAUUCAAAAGAUAUAUCUCAAAGUUUUCCAAAAGACAUCUACAAGUUAUCCAAAUGAUAUUUUUCAAAGUUGUCCAAAAUAUAUCAAUAAAGUUAUCCAAAAGAUGUCUGCCAAAGUUAUCCAAAACACAUCUCCAAGUUAUCCAAAAAAUAUCUCGCAAAGUUAUCCAAAAGAUAUCUCGCAAAGUUAUCCAAAGGAUAUCUCGCAAAGUUAUCCAAAAGACAUCUCCAAGUUAUCCAAAAGAUAUCUCGCAAAGUUCUCCAAAAUAUAUCAUUAUAUUAUUCAAAAUGGACAUUUCGUUGAUCAAUAAAUGAACAGAAAAUGUUGAAAAUAUUGGCCGAAGUAUACGUGUUUCACCACUGCGAAUGUACCAUAUUUAGACCUUCGAGAAAGUAAAAUCAUUUUCGGUAAUACAUUUGCACUUAAGAUACAAUUAAUACACUAAAAUGAACCAGUCGUUGACAUUUUUUUCUUCUUUCUAUGCACUUAACAGUUGUUUUGUAUAUUUACGUACGUUUUCUGGAUGUUUUAAACAUUGUGCUUUGCUGUUUAUGUUUUGGAGUAUCAUGUUGGUCUUAAAGCUGUAUUUUUGUUUGAUUUUUAUUAAAGUGAGAAAAAAAUA